GCUGAAAGGAGUUUCUCAAAAUUAAAACUAUUGAAAAAUUAUUUGAGGUCAACGAUGUCUCAAGAAAGAUUGAAUGGAUUGGCCAUGUGCUGCAUUGAGAAGAAUAUGCUGGAUAGUAUUGAUCUUGACACUCUCAUUGAUGAUUUUGCGUCAAAAAAUGCACGAAAGUCUCGUUUCACAUGA
rnacentral:rRNA from 1 species